rnacentral:snRNA from 1 species
AUACUUACCUGGACGGGGUCAAUGGGCGAUCAAGAAGGCUCAUGGCCUAGGUUGGUGGCCUCCAUUGCACUUAGGAGGGGUGCCUGCCUAUGGUCUCCUCACUGAAGGAGAGCCAACGUCAUAAUUUGUUGCCGUGGGGGCCUGCGUUCGCGCGGCCCCUUC